AGGUGGUCAUGUGCGCGGAAGGCCGGGGGCGCGUGACCGCGCGGCCCGGCGGCUAUGGCGGGCGGGAUGAGCGCGGCCCGGCCCGGCCCCUCAGCGCUCGGGGCAGGCGAGCCUCCGCAGCUCGUGUGCCCGCUGGGAGAGGGAAAGAUACUGCGUUGAGAAGUAAAUAGGUCGGCGAAGUGUUCUAACGGCACGUUUCAGUGUCCCAGGGAGUCUUAAUGGCCUGCUGCAUAAUCCCAUUAAAGCGCCUGCCAGCGCAGCUCGCUGUCACCUUCCUCAGCCUUAGAGUCAGAUGUAUAAAACCAGCUGCCAUGUGGCACGACAGCUUACGGUGCAGAAGCUGAGGCUGGCUGGCACGGUUCUGGAGGUGCCAUCUAGUUUUCAUAUCUAUUUUUUGAAAGAAAAAUCCCACUUCCAUGAAGGCCUCUCCAAGUCCUAUGGCAAACACGGUUUAGGGGCUGUACAGAGCUUUUUGAGCCACUUCUUUCAGGGGAUGCAGUGCCCUUCCUGCAAGGAGCAAGGACCCUCUCUCGAGGAAAGAGGCAGAGCCGGAGCGUGAAGGUCUGUGUGAGCUGAAACGUAGUGAAAAGAGGGUUUAAUCCUGAAACCAGGAUUACACAGCCCUUCCAACGGCACCAGCAGCCCAGUAAGGCACUCCUACUGAGACACGGGGUCAGUGCCUUACUGGGCUACUGGGCACACUUCACGACUUUUACGAGUUGUGGAGUUUUCUUUCCACAAAUCACUGCCGCUGUGGGGACGCCUCCUUAAAAUCCCUGCUUUCCCAACACUUUUUGUUUGCUCAGCAGGCAAACCCAGGAAACUUUUCUAGAGGUUUGAACUGCACCAAGGUAUGUACAAAACUGAAACAGAAGAGCACAGGGAAUUAAAACCCAGGAAACUUUUCUAGAGGUUUGAACUGCACCAAGGUAUGUACAAAACUGAAACAGAAGAGCACAGGGAAUUAAAACAGGAUGUAUAAGAGAGCUUUCUAACUAAUUCUCCAUUCUCCAGUUGAUGGAUGCAAGCCAAUCCUACAAGUGUUACACCUGCCUAGAUCUGGCAAGGUGUGAUCCUCAGUCAAAGCGCUCAGAAUUCCCAUCUCAAGAGAUCUAAAAUUGACCUUUUAAGUACCUGUUGAGGAUGGGACAAGGCAGCAGUGUGAAUUUAGCCCAGAGCCUGCGGGCAUCACUGAACAUGGCAGCACAAGAGAGCCAAGGGACAGCUGAGCAGGAUUGACAUUGCUGCUCCUCAAAAACACACACCUGGAGCUGCACACGCCUGUGGGAAAGGCCCAACCAAGCCAACACUCACAGUGCCCAACAACAGAAAUGUGAGCUGACAUUCAUCCCUCAUGCUGGUCACUUGCAGAGGAAUCUUGCAAUAAAUGGCAGCUACAGGACAAGAAGAAUGGUACCAUUACUACCUCAGCAGGAAUGAGCAGGAAGGUGACUCAGAAAGAGUGUCCAGCACUGCCAUGCCACCCUUCUGAGUGUGAUUUGUUUGUGGAAGAUGAGAGAGACCUGUCUGGGUGAUGAGAGGUCCUCACUGCUGUAGUGGCACCAAAAACCUGCUUGCAAAGAGUAUUUCAAGCACCCAACAUCCCACUGUUCUGCACUGCUAAGAGUCUGGCUCACUUGGAAUUGCUUGGACUGCUCUGGAAACUUGUGCAUCUCCAGUCCCCUGGGGGCUGCCUGAAGAGGCAGAUCCUGGCCUUGGAUCCUCCACCCAGUGCCAAUAAAACCUAUUGCAACACUGAUAUUUUUAUCCAGGUAACAGUCUUGUAUGAAACAAAUAGGUAGUUACUUACUGUCUUCUUAGUAUUUUGUGUAGUGGGUUUUUUUGUGAUUUUUGUGAAAAACACCUUUACUUUCUUGUGAAAAUUUAAAAAGUUUAAUAAAGGACAGUAGGAGACAGAAAUAAAGGGUUAAAACAGCUGGGUGUUGGAUAUUUAGUUAAGAGUACACUUGUUAUUUUGGAAAUGCUUUUAAUAUAAUAUUUUAUUACAUCAUUUUUUAUAUAUUUAUAAAUAAUUAUGUAUAGUAAACUUUUUUUUCUAUAUUAGUUUACAUAUUCUAAGAACUGUCUAGUAUGGCUCUUUUUUGGUUUUAUUUUCUUAGAGUACUCUUAGGUUGUGGUAUUAGUUUAUUUUUAUCACUUUUAGUUUUUGGGUCUUGGUCUACACUGUUUUUAGACAGUGAGUGUUGAUAGUUGGUAUAUUUGUAGUAGGUGUUUUCUUUAUAUGUUUACUGGGUGUUAUUUCAUUUAAGUAGGUAUUUUAAUAUAAGUACACUUAUAUCAGUUAUUUUAUUAAGUUUAAUUAACAAUAGAAACAAAAACUAUAUUUUAUGUAAAGUUUUUUAACAUUACACAU